rnacentral:rRNA from 1 species
AGAGUUUGAUCCUGGCUCAGGAUGAACGCUAGCGGCAGGCCUAAUACAUGCAAGUCGAACGGUGUGGCAACACACAGUGGCGCACGGGUGCGUAACGCGUAUGCAACCUACCUUUCAGUGGGGCAUAGCCCGGAGAAAUCCGGAUUAAUACCCCAUAGCAUAACUUUUUGGCAUCAAAGAGUUCUUAAAGAUUUAUCGCUGAAAGAUGGGCAUGCGUCCGAUUAGCUAGUUGGCAGUGUAACAGACUACCAAGGCAAUGAUCGGUCGGGGUUCUGAGAGGAAGAUCCCCCACACUGGUACUGAGAUACGGACCAGACUCCUACGGGAGGCAGCAGUAGGGAAUAUUGGGCAAUGGUGGCAACACUGACCCAGCCAUGCCGCGUGCAGGAAGAAGGCCUUCUGGGUUGUAAACUGCUUUUAUACGGGAAGAAAAGCGGCUACGCGUAGCUGAAUCGACGGUACCGUAUGAAUAAGCACCGGCUAACUCCGUGCCAGCAGCCGCGGUAAUACGGAGGGUGCAAGCGUUGUCCGGAUUUAUUGGGUUUAAAGGGUGCGUAGGCGGCCUAUUAAGUCAGGGGUGAAAGACGAUCGCUCAACGAUCGCAGUGCCUUUGAUACUGGUGGGCUUGAGUACAGAUGAGGCCGGCGGAAUGGGUGGUGUAGCGGUGAAAUGCAUAGAUACCAUCCAGAACACCGAUUGCGAAGGCAGCCGGCUAAACUGCUACUGACGCUGAGGCACGAAAGCGUGGGGAUCGAACAGGAUUAGAUACCCCCGUAGUCC